AUUCUAAGUGGGGAGAAUCCUUAGAUUCUCCCCACUUUGGUGGGGAGCUGAUCAAUGGGUGCUAAGGUAACUUAGGAACCCAUCCAGAAUGAGAAAGUACAUUUACAAAAUGCAAUAGGUAUAAGGAUAAAUUCAUUUCAUCAAAGAAACUAAUAAUCACAAAGAACCCUAUGAGCUACAUGUUGUAUGCAGAAUUGAACCAAGCAAGUGAAAUCGGCAGAGUGGCACAGAAACCUUCGGUGGGACAGACGUUCAAAGAGAGAGCCACAAUGACCCUACUUGGAAGAUUCCAGAAAAACCCAGGAAGUAUUGCCACAAGAAUGAAAGGGCCACACCAAGAUUAAACAGUCCUGUGAGCAGGACUGAAAUAACACCCUUCAGAAACUACACAGGGAGGUGCAUAUGUAACUGAUCUCCACAUUAACUUCUUAAAUAGAAGAUGAAAAUGGAGAAGAGUGCCUGUGUACCUUACUAACCACAGCCAGUGAGGACUGGGUGACUCAGAAGGGGUAAAGAAAGAAAACAUAGAUUAAAGAAGCUAAAAAAACAACAAUGAAGAGAAAUCAAA